rnacentral:rRNA from 1 species
GACGAACGCUGGCGGCGUGCUUAACACAUGCAAGUCGAACGGUAAGGCCCUUUCGGGGGUACACGAGUGGCGAACGGGUGAGUAACACGUGGGUGAUCUGCCCUGCCCUUUGGGAUAAGCCUGUGAAACUGGGUCUAAUACCUGAUAGGACUACGCGAUUCAUGCCGUGUGGUGGAAAGCUUUUGCGGUGUGGGAUGGGCCCGCGGCCUAUCAGCUUGUUGGUGGGGUGAUGGCCUACCAAGGCGACGACGGGUAGCCGGCCUGAGAGGGUGGCCGGCCACACUGGGACUGAGAUACGGCCCAGACUCCUACGGGAGGCAGCAGUGGGGAAUAUUGCACAAUGGGCGCAAGCCUGAUGCAGCGACGCCGCGUGGGGGAUGACGGCCUUCGGGUUGUAAACCCCUUUCAGCACAGACGAAGCGUAAGUGACGGUAUGUGCAGAAGAAGCACCGGCCAACUACGUG